rnacentral:rRNA from 1 species
UACGGGGGGGCAAGCGUUGUUCGGAAUUACUGGGCGUAAAGGGCGCGUAGGCGGUCCGCUAAGUUGGAUGUGAAAACUCUGGGCUUAACCCAGAGCCUGCAUUCAAAACUGACGGGCUAGAGUUCUGGAGGGGGUAGCGGAAUUCCUGGUGUAGCGGUGAAAUGCGUAGAUAUCAGGAGGAACACCGGUGGCGAAGGCGGCUACCUGGACAGAAACUGACGCUGAGGCGCGAAAGCUAGGGGAGCAAACAGG